CAGCCUGAAGUGAUGAGUUUGUUUCAUGUCUCUUCUCUGAGAUUUUUCCUGGAGAUAGUAUUUCACUCUGAUUGGGCUC
rnacentral:snoRNA from 1 species